rnacentral:lncRNA from 1 species
GCAGUUUUUGGCUUAUAACUCAAAACCCAAAGCAUUUAGAGCAAAUCUGACAUGCGGUAAAAUUGUUUUUCAGGUCAACAUUUAUCUGCUCUGAAAUUUUUAGAUGAAUCGGACAACCCGUUGUUGGGUUGCUGACCCUGAAUUGUUAGGUUUAAGGAAAUUUUGCUGUUUUUGGUCAUUAUCUUGAAUAUUAUUAUUGAUAGAGAUAAACUGUAAACAACAAUAAUGUUCAGCAAAGUAAGAUUUACAA